UGGGGAAUAUUGGACAAUGGGGGAAACCCUGAUCCAGCAAUGCCGCGUGAGUGAAGAAGGCCUUAGGGUUGUAAAGCUCUUUCGCCCGCGAAGAUGAUGACGGUAGCGGGAGAAGAAGCCCCGGCUAACUCCGUGCCAGCAGCCGCGGUAAUACGGAGGGGGCUAGCGUUGUUCGGAAUUACUGGGCGUAAAGCGUACGUAGGCGGAUGCGCAAGUUGGGGGUGAAAUCCCGGGGCUUAACCUCGGAAUUGCCCUCAAAACUGCACGUCUUGAGACCGAGAGAGGUAAGGGGAAUUCCUAGUGUAGAGGUGAAAUUCGUAGAUAUUAGGAAGAACACCAGUGGCGAAGGCGCCUUACUGGCUCGGUACUGACGCUGAGGUACGAAAGCGUGGGGAGCAAACA
rnacentral:rRNA from 1 species